CAAGCCGAGUCUGUGAACUACACUACAGCUCACAGCAAUGCCAGAUCCUUAACCCACAGAGUGAAGCCAGGAAUUGAACCCACAUCCUCAGGGAUACUAGUCAGGUUCAUUAUCUGACUAGCCACGAAGGGAACUCCACAUGUGGCCUCUCUGAAGCUGUUUUGUGUUGUAUCAACAAGAUGAAGCAUUCAGUGCCAAGAGCAGACUGAAUGGUGGACAGUCAGGCAGUUUGGAAGGACAGAUCCAGUUACUCCCAGAAGAGUCCUUAUCUAGGGUCAACCUUGGAGCCACCACGAUUGAUUUAUUCAGGAAAGCAGCCUUUUCUCACCCCUACCGCCCAGUCCCAUGGCUGAGGAAUUUGAGAAAGGUCUCCCCUAAUCCUUGGGCGCCAUCUGUUUGCACUGGAUGACAAAACAUCCCUGGCAGAGGGCUCUGUACCUUUCAUUGCAUCAAGGCUCUUUCAUCGGCAUUCUGGAAAAGGCUUAGUUUCUGAAGCUGCAAAGAGGGCGAAGUUGACAUAUUUUCAUUUUCGGCCCAGAAAUAUUCUGAGUAAUCCUUGUGCCAGGGAUUUGGGGACAAGGCAGAGACUGACAUAUCCCCAAGGGUGUCUGGAACCAGCAACUUACCAACAGGGAUUGGUCCUUGGUGUCAGGAUGGACUUGGGUGGAAGUGUAUUCCCUAAAAGCACGGGGUGCUGGAGAAUUCAUAACAGCUCCUCGGACACUGUCAGGCCCUGAGCUCAGUUGCAUGGUCUUAUGGAUCCCUCAACAGGCCUGGCUUUUGGCCCCAUUUCACAGAUGGUGAAGUUGAGCUCACAGAAGUCAUGUCACUAUAAUUCUCCCUAGGUCACAUGAAUAGUAAGUACAGCUAGAGUUUGAAUCCAGAUCCUCUUUAUUUUAUUCACUCAUUUGUAUAUUUUGAUGCUUUUUAGUAAAUUUUAAUUGUACACAUUUUUAAAAAUUACAGUUGUUUUACAAUGUUGUGCUAAUUUCUGCUGUAUAGCAAAGUGACCCAGUCACAUAUUUUGUAUAGUCCCUUUUUUAUAAUAUAUAUAUAAGAAUAUAUAUAUAUAUAUUUUUUCUUUUGUUGUUGUUGUUGUUGCUUUUUAGGUCCACACCUGUGACACAUGGAAGUUCCCAGGCUAGGGGUCGAAUCGGAGCUGUAGCCACUGGCCUACGCCAGAGCCACAGCAACGCGGGAUCCGAGCUGCGUCUGCAACCUACACCACAGCUCAGGACAAUGCCGGAUCGUGAGCAGGGGCAGGGACCGAACCCGCAACCUCAUGGUUCCUAGUCGGAUUCGUUAACCACUGUGCCACGACGGGAACUCCAUGAUCACAUUUUGAAUAUUGAGAAUCUGGGAAAUAUGGUGUCUUUUCUUGCCAUACUCUGGUUAUGCUCUGCUUGUAUUUCCUUGUUUCACCUUCUAAAGUCUUGCAUGACCCAUUCAGCUCAA
rnacentral:lncRNA from 1 species